rnacentral:piRNA from 1 species
GAAGAAGAUUUGGGACCUGUUAC